GAUGAACGCUGGCGGCGUGCCUAAUACAUGCGAGUCGAGCGAACAGACGAGGAGCUUGCUCCCCUGACGUUAGCGGCGGACGGGUGAGUAACACGUGGAUAACCUACCUAUAAGACUGGGAUAACUUCGGGAAACCGGAGCUAAUACCGGAUAAUAUAUUGAACCGCAUGGUUCAAUAGUGAAAGACGGUUUUGCUGUCACUUAUAGAUGGAUCCGCGCCGCAUUAGCUAGUUGGUAAGGUAACGGCUUACCAAGGCAACGAUGCGUAGCCGACCUGAGAGGGUGAUCGGCCACACUGGAACUGAGACACGGUCCAGACUCCUACGGGAGGCAGCAGUAGGGAAUCUUCCGCAAUGGGCGAAAGCCUGACGGAGCAACGCCGCGUGAGUGAUGAAGGUCUUCGGAUCGUAAAACUCUGUUAUUAGGGAAGAACAAAUGUGUAAGUAACUAUGCACGUCUUGACGGUACCUAAUCAGAAAGCCACGGCUAACUACGUG
rnacentral:rRNA from 1 species